rnacentral:pre_miRNA from 1 species
UAAGAGGUUCGGAGCGGUUUGAAGCGAUUUAUAGCGGCUUGUAUGAUUGUUUCGAAACGCUGUCAACCGCU